GAAACGCGAUAGGUAAUGUGAAUUGCAGAAUUCCGUGAAUCAUCGAAUCUUUGAACGCACCUUGCGCUCUAUGGUAUUCCGUAGAGCAUGCCUGUUUGAGUGCCGUGAAUUCUCCCAUCCCAAGCGGUUUUUAUCAAAGAAUUGCUAGGCGAAGGGGUUGAGAUGGCCGUUGUUAUAACUGCUUUUCUUCUCUAGAAAAGCUCGCCCGAAAAACAGCUAACGCCUCUGGGCCACUUUGCAUCCGCUUCUCUGAGGGGAGAAGCGGCCAAGCGCGCUCUGAUCAUCAGGCAUAGCAUGAUACGUCAUUUGCUAUGCUGUAGGAGAGCAUUUGGUUGUGGUUAUACCGCGUGCGUUAUUUUUUUUUUGCAAACGCAAAGAAAAAAAAGCCCCCUUUCAUUUCUGGUCUCAAAUCAGGUAGGAUCACCCGCUGAACUUAAGC
rnacentral:misc_RNA from 1 species